CAUCACGCAACAACGACGCACUUCGACACCUCGCCCAUUCUUGUCCUUGCCCAUCUCUUCCCUCAACGCACAUCGUUUGCUCUCCUACCCAGACUGCAUGCCACCCCAAGUUGCCUCCUGAAAACCGUUAUUCGCGAAGUCACUCACCCCCAUCACCGUCGCUACCAUCACAUCAGCAUCAAUCACAGCGGAGGACGAAACGGCAAACGCGAACACAGCCGCUCCGUGCACGGGCACUCACGCAACCACACAGGUCACGUGGCCCACUGUUGCCACCUAAAGCUGCUUGUCCUCCCUGGCCCCUCUGCGCCACACAGCGCUGCUUCCCAGCUUCCUCAACCGCAGCAAAAGAAAAGUGCGACGAUGCCGCCCAAGGUGAGCGAACUGCCGCAGCAGCGGAAGAACACCGUUCACCACCUCCCCGAUGAUGACAUAAGCCUUUUCUUCCGCGUGCUGCGCUUUCUCUCCGCCCACUCCCACCUUGCCACCCUCGACGCGGCCACGGAGCGCCUCGAUGACGCCGACCGCAGCCCAUCCACCACUCCGUCCGCUCCGGUCGCCAGGCGUGGCGUGCAGUGCACCCAAACCGGCACGAGCGCCUCCGUGAACAACCGAAUUCCAACGCCGCCCGUGCUGCGGGAACCGCUGGAAGAGUUCCGCAUGAUGGCGACGAAUUUGCCCAUCGAUCAGGAAGGGCUCGAGGCGGCGCGCAAGACUGUGUGUGAGCUUCUGGAAGGGCUUUGCCACAAGCUUGCAGAUCCUGCCAUCACGAAGGAGCUGCGGCAGAAGGUGCUGCUGACGGACGGAAGCGAGCUUCUGGGAAACUCGAGCAGCAGCAGCGGCGCACUGGGCAUCUCCGCCGUGGAGUGCGGCGCCAUACGUAGCUUAAGCAGCUUUGGCAUCGAUAGCCUCAACCAGAUGCAGGAGAUUGUCCCUGGCCUGUGGUGCGGCUCCUACCACCCAGCGAUCGAUCGCGAGCUGAUGAAGCGCCGCGGCAUCACCCACGUGUGCUGCUGCAUUGGCACGCCGCCAAGCUUCCCGGGGGACUUUAUAUACAUGACGCUGUCGGCCGACGACCGCCCCGACUACGACAUGACGCCGCACUUUGCACACACCUUUGAGUUCAUCGAGAACGCGCUGGUGACGAACCAUGGCGGGGUGCUCGUGCACUGUGGCGCCGGCAUCUCUCGCGCGCCGACGGUGGUGUCAGCCUAUCUGAUGCGGAAGCUGCGCCUUUGCUCGUCUGCAGCGAUUCAUCUUGUCCAGCAGCACCGCCCGUGUGCGUCGCCAAACACUGGUUUCCGGCAACAGCUGUAUGAGUACGGCAUGAAGAUCGGUGUGCGUGAACAGGAACCGGCGGCGCGUAGGGAGCUGGCGAGCGAGAGCGCUUGGCGUGCGGCGAAUGCUCUGAGGAGGCCGUAAGUGCCCAAGGUGGGGGGGGGGCCAUCGGCUUCUCGACGCCCUCCUCUCGUCUUGGCGCAGGGAGACGAUGAGGAGGGGAGGGGGGAAGGGGAGGCAGAGACUCAUCGACAGGGCUAAAUGCUGAGCACGCGCAUGCAGGCAUGCACGCGCACACGUAGUGACAAGAGGGCAGAGGUCUGCGCUAUGUCUCGGCGUCUGUCUUUUGAGUGGGCACCGACGCUGCCUCUCACUCGCCUUUUGCGCACUGAGGCCUCCUUCCCUCCCUUCUGCAGCCUUUUCUCUGCCGCCUGUGCAUGCGUUUACCCCUUCUCGCCAUGUAUGGAGAUGUGGUACACGUAUGCGCGUGGUGGUGCGGGUGCUCGGCCGCUCCGUCUUCCUUUUGGCACCCAUCUAUCUGCCCCUUUCGUUUCUGUCUUGUCACAGCGCGCGCGGAGGCACAUGUCUGCCCUGCCCCGUGAGCGUACAUAUGUACAUCUAUGUGUCGAUCUAUAAACAUACGUGUGCCUAUGUACAUCUUUUCGUUUGCUGUUUUUACUGCGCUCGCUCUCCCUCUCUCUCCGUGCUUUUGCUUUGGAAUGUGAUGAGCCGUCGCUGCCUGAAAUAGACGUACUCGCGUGCCUCUGGUGCCUCUUUCUCCCUUCCCUUCCCUUCCUUGGUCACUACUGGUGUUGCUGCCUGUCGGUGUCACGGCUCUCUCCUUUUCGCUCUGCCCUCGGUGCGUUGUUGCCGGUGGUGGGGGUACUCUUUUCAUCACUUCUCUUAUUCCUCUCCUAUACCGGAGCGCGUUGCUUGCGCACGCGCUCGAUCCCCACACUCUCUACGUGUUUCUUUUUCCUUGUCUCGCAUAGAUGAUUGAAAGCAGGUACGAGGGGCGGGCGCAGGGGCGAGGAAGGUCGGAGAACGGCCGGGAUGUUGGGCGUGAGUGACAUGGGUAGCUGAUACGAUGAGCGAUUUUAUCGCCUCCCCUGCUUUAGCGGAGCGGAGCGCAGCCACGCGCGCGCUUCCUCACUCCCUCCGCACAUACUCGCACACACCGCGUUGCCCUUUCUUUUUCGUCACUCCCUCCCUUAACGGCUCCGUUUAUCGUGUUUAGGUUUCACUGACGUGCUCUGUUAUUCGCAUCACCGUUGCCCCGUUUUAUUGCUGCUCUCUCUCUUUCUGCAUGAUCGCUACCGCACUCGCACCCUGCGUCUUUCGCGGAUUGGGGGGGGGCAGGGGCUGCAUCGGAUGCGCGUGUCAUGGACGCGCCGAUCUGCGCUUACGUCUUGUUUUUUCUCUGCUGUUCUCCCUCCGUCUGUCCCUCUCCCACCGACUGUGCACGUGCGCGCGGGUGCUGGUGGCAAGUUUGACAUGCGCUUCACACACUUACACCAUCUUUCCCUCACAUACACACAAACACGCAGGCGAACGCUCGACUGGCUGACGAUGCUUGCCGUUUCUUGGGCUCUUUUUAGUUCCUUCCAUGUCGAGUGUAUACUGGCAUCUUUUCAUUGUCGCCUCCAUGACGGAGGGAGUUGCACAUGUGUUGCUCAUGGUGGCGCUGUGCUCUCUACUCGACGUGUAUCCGGUGAUGUCAUGCGUGGAGAUCGAUGAUGGCGCAUGCGCUUUCAUCGCUGCCGCUCCUUAAUUAUUACUCUUCAUGCGCGCGCGCGUGUGUUGUGCUGGAGGAUGCCCGCUGGUGGCAGACGAGAGAGAGAGCGAUACCACAAUGCGUUGCUCACGCACGUGGCGAGUUUGGCAGAAGAGGGGAGGGGGAUAGACGGCGCAGGAGAUGCAGGGGCGUGCAUGCAGACGGCGGUGGCGUUUGCUUGUCAGUGCACUUACCCACUCACGCACCCCCUGUGUCUUCUUGUAGCGUAUUGUCGGGCUCCUGCUUCUUGAUUGCAUGUUUAUUUUCUGUUUCCCUUUUGUGUGUAUAGGCCCUCCUCCGCGAGGUUGCUGAUGCAGCGGCUGCGGCGUGUGGAGUUGAUGAUGAUGGCCAGGGGAGAAAGUGAAAGCGACUAGAAGCACACAGAGGGGGGCGAUAGUAUGCGUGGGGUGCUGCAGAGGUUUUUCGGUGGUGGGAGUGGAGACGCCGCCGUGUCUCGUUGAUGAUACCAUGACCCCAUGCACGCCUUUUGAUGCAUACAUACAAUUUUAUUUUGAAACCAUCCACAGCGGUGGGGAGGGGGCACAUUGUGAUGAGCGUGUGUGUGUGUGCGCUGACGGAGGGAAGUGCCAGAAGGGAGACGAUGAGGUCUGCACCACUACUCUUCGGUGACACCAAUCCUCUGUAAACCUACAAGGAUGCAGUCUCUUUCCUUGAGUUCCCUCUAUAUCACCUCUCGCAGCUCAGAGACACUCCAAGAAGAUGAGUAGGCUGCACCUAGUAGAGGAAGAGGCUUCUUCCUGUGUGCUCCGGCUUGUAGGGAACGGCUGCACCAAAAAAAAAACACGCGACACACACACACACACACACACACACACAUACACACAGAUGCACAAUGAAGGAAGAGCGCAAAGGUGCUUCGGGCAUGUACAUCCACAUAGGUUCUAUCCACCGCAGUCAGCGUUGCCUCGUUGUUCAUCGAGUCUCCCCUGUCUUUCUCUGUCUUGACUCUCUUGCCGGUCUCGCGCAUCUGAGGACUGGGCACAUCAG
rnacentral:misc_RNA from 1 species